rnacentral:pre_miRNA from 1 species
GGCACAAACUUGAAGUACAGUAGUCAGGUGGGGUUAGUCGAUCCCACUAAUCUAUUCUACUUCAAAUUUGGGUCC